rnacentral:rRNA from 1 species
AGAAUCAACGCUGGCGGCGUGCCUAACACAUGCAAGUCGAACGCGAAAGUCCCGAAAGGGAUAAGUAGAGUGGCAAACGGGUGAGUAACACGUGGGUGACCUGCCUUCGAGCGGGGGAUAACGUCCCGAAAGGGACGCUAAUACCGCAUAACAUCCUGCCUUUUAAGAGGUGGAGAUCAAAGCCGGGGACCGCAAGGCCUGGUACUUGAAGAGGGGCCCGCGUCUGAUUAGCUAGUUGGUGGGGUAACGGCCUACCAAGGCAACGAUCAGUA